rnacentral:rRNA from 1 species
UACGUAGGGGCAAGCGUUGUCCGGAAUCAUUGGGCGUAAAGCGCGUGUAGGCGGUCCGGUAAGUCCGCUGUGAAAGUCGGGGGCUCAACCCCCGGAUGCCGGUGGAUACUGUCGGGCUUGAGUACGGAAGAGGCGAGUGGAAUUCCUGGUGUAGCGGUGAAAUGCGCAGGAUAUCAGGAGGAACACCAAUUGCGAAGGCAGCUCGCUGGGACGUUACUGACGCUGAGACGCGAAAGCGUGGGGAGCAAACAGG